CUCAGAAAGAAAGCUGGCGGCGUGUUCANCCAUGCAAGUCGAGUGCGCGGUUGUAGCAAUACAACUGGCGCACGGCGCACUUGUGCGUAACACGUGGGUAACCUGCCCUUUGGUGGGGAAUAACUCCGCGAAAGCGGAGCUAAUUCCGCAUAAGAUCCGCAAGGAUGAAAGCCGCAAGGCGCCGAAGGAGGGGCCCGCGCCCGAUUAGCUAGUUGGUGAGGCAAUGGCUCACCAAGGCUUUGAUCGGUAGCUGGUCUGAGAGGAUGAUCAGCCACACUGGAACUGAGACACGGUCCAGACUCCUACGGGAGGCAGC
rnacentral:rRNA from 1 species